AUGCUUUCCUAUCAACAGUGAAGUCCAACCCUCCAAUCGAGAGGUCAGACGAGGUCGCCAGGUAGGGGUGGUCAUGGACGCGGCGGCGGAGCCCCUUUUGCCGCAAUCAGCAACAGCCGUGGACCACCUGGGCCGUCCGGUCUCCCGCCGAGCCUCCGGCCGGUGGCCCGCCGCGCUCUUCAUCAUCGGGGUGGAGAUCUCCGAGCGGUUCGCAUACUCCGGCAUCUCAGGGAACCUCAUCACCUACCUAACCGGCCAGCUCGGGCAGUCCACGGCGUCGGCCGCCGCGGCCAUCAACGCGUGGAGCGGCGCCGCGCUUCUGCUGCCGCUGCUCGGCGCCGCCAUCGCCGACUCCUGGCUCGGCCGUUACCGCACCAUAGUCUGCACCUCCCUCCUCUACAUCCUGGGCCUUGGCAUGCUCACAGUAUCAUCUGUUCUUACGCCACAACAACCUGCACAAUUUGGAGACCACAAGGAUUCCGCUCUAUCCUCGACUUCGGCUAUUCAUUUAGCUUUCUUCUACCUGUCCCUAUAUCUGGUGGCCUUUGCUCAGGGUGGCCAUAAACCUUGUCUGCAAGCAUUUGGGGCAGACCAAUUUGACGAGAACGAUCCUGAAGAAUGUGCCUCAAGGAGUUCCUUCUUCAAUUGGUGGUAUUUUGGGACGUACGGAGGUAGUAUCGUUACCGUUUCAAUCUUGAAUUACAUUCAAGAUAACAUAAGCUGGCAGUUUGGGUUUGGAAUCCCUUGCAUCGUUAUGUCUGUUUCUCUUGCAAUUUUCUGGCUCGGGGCCAAGAAUUAUCGCUUUUAUCCUGUUAGAAGUGAAGGAAGCCUAUUUGGAUUGGUUAGCAAACACCUUGUAUCAUCAAUUAGAGGCUGGUAUGCAUUAUGGUGUUCAACAUCAUCCGAUGAUACUCACUGCACACCAACAUCAUCAUCGAAGGGAGUCGGGGAUAAUUCAGAAAUGACAUGUUUUCCUGAUGAAGCCAAGGCAGUGCUUAAGUUGUUUCCAAUAGGGGCAACCUGCUUGGUUUAUGCAGUUGUUUUUGCCCAGUGGAUGACGCUGUUCACUAAGCAAGCAAGUACACUAGACAGGCAGAUAGGUAGCUUACAGGUACCAGCUGCUGCCCUACAAAGCUUGAUCAGUGUGUCCAUCGUCAUCUCGGUUCCUAUAUAUGAGCGGAUACUUGUUCCACUAGCCAGGAAGUACUCGAAGAACCCUCGUGGUAUCACAGCAUUGCAAAGGAUAGGAAUUGGAUUGGUCAUCUCUGUGUUAUUGAUGGUUGUUGCGGCCCUCGUGGAGAUGAGAAGGCUCAAGACAGCGAGAGACUAUGGCCUAGUGGACAAACCUAAAGUGACGAUCCCUAUGAGCUUUUGGUGGGUGGUUCCUCAGUUCAUUUUAACUGGCCUGGCGGACAUGUUCACUAUGGUCGGCUUGCAAGAAUUUUUCUACGACCAAGUGCCAGAUGGUCUGCGCAGUUUGGGCCUUGCCUUGUACCUGAGCAUAUUUGGAAUUGGGAGUUUCAUCAGUAGCUUCCUGGUGUAUGCAAUCGACAGGGUAACCAGUGACGAUGGAGAUAGUUGGUUCUCGGACAAUCUAAACCGAGGCCAUCUUGAUUACUUCUACUGGCUUCUGGCCUUGCUUAGUGUUCUCGGGUUGGUUGCUUAUGUGUAUUUUGCACAAGCGUAUGUCCACAAGAAAAAGGGAGUUUCAGAACGAAUACGAUGAUUGUAUGCAAAGUGCCAACUGAGUUGUCUGAUAUCCAUCGGUUAUUGCCUCAUCGUUAGCCAGUAGAUAUGCCAGGUACCUGUCAGAGAGGGUGAAUACUGCCGUUGCUGUUUCAGUCAGUCGAUGCCCUGAGGUGAGAUGUUCGGUCGCAACUUGCAAGCGACUGUUCGUUCAAUCUGGAAAGUGUAGCACACACCAAAUGACCGAAUACUGCAUUUGAACUUUGAAAAGACAUUUUCUCCGA